rnacentral:rRNA from 1 species
CCUACGGGUGGCAGCAGUGGGGAAUAUUGCACAAUGGGCGCAAGCCUGAUGCAGCGACGCCGCGUGAGCGAUGAAGGCCUUCGGGUUGUAAAGCUCUGUCUUCGCUGACGAAACCUGACGGUACCUUAGGAGGAAGCCCCGGCUAACUACGUGCCAGCAGCCGCGGUAAUACGUAGGGGGCGAGCGUUAUCCGGAAUCACUGGGCGUAAAGGGUGCGUAGGCGGCCCUGCAAGUCAGGAGUUAAAUCCCUCGGCUCAACCGAGGUCAGCUCUUGAAACUGUAGGGCUUGAGUGCAGGAGAGGAGAGCGGAAUUCCUAGUGUAGCGGUGAAAUGCGUAGAUAUUAGGAGGAACACCAGUGGCGAAGGCGGCUCUCUGGACUGCAACUGACGCUGAGGCACGAAAGCGUGGGGAGCGAACAGGAUUAGAUAUCCUUGUAGUC